rnacentral:rRNA from 1 species
GACGAACGCUGGCGGCGUGCUUAACACAUGCAAGUCGAGCGGAAAGGCCCUUCGGGGUACUCGAGCGGCGAACGGGUGAGUAACACGUGAGUAACCUGCCCCAGACUUUGGGAUAACCCUCUGAAACGGGGGAUAAUACCGGAUACGACACAGCUUCGCAUGGGGUCUGUGUGGAAAGUUUUUCGGUUUGGGAUGGGCUCGCGGCCUAUCAGCUUGUUGGUGGGGUGAUGGCCUACCAAGGCGACGACGGGUAGCCGGCCUGAGAGGGCGACCGGCCACACUGGGACUGAGACACGGCCCAGACUCCUACGGGAGGCAGCAGUGGGGAAUAUUGCACAAUGGGCGGAAGCCUGAUGCAGCGACGCCGCGUGAGGGAUGACGGCCUUCGGGUUGUAAACCUCUUUCAGCAGGGACGAAGCGUAAGUGACGGUACCUGCAGAAGAAGCGCCGGCCAACUACGUG